GUCUAGGUUAGUGAGGCACCUCUUUCGAAGCGGCACUCGAGCUUCAGCUUUGGUAUGUGUUUGGUGUGUGGGGUGAGAUUUCGUCCAGCGAGCCGAAGCCCGCACCGCAAGACCUUGUCCCAGUCUUCACCGACAGCGAGGUCGGCCAGUGGCUGGGCCAGGAACAAGCGCCCGGGCGGUCCCACUAGGGGCCCGCACCGAGGGAACAUAACGACCAGGUUAGCAGGUAGACAAUAUAAUAGAUUCAAUGAUCCCUCCGCAGGUUCACCUACGGAGA
rnacentral:misc_RNA from 1 species